rnacentral:rRNA from 1 species
GUCCGUAGGCGGCUUAAUAAGUCAGUGGUGAAAUCCCUACGCUUAACGUAGGAACGGCCAUUGAUACUGUUAGGCUUGAAUUAUUAGGAAGUAACUAGAAUAUGUAGUGUAGCGGUGAAAUGCUUAGAGAUUACAUGGAAUACCAAUUGCGAAGGCAGGUUACUACUAAUGGAUUGACGCUGAUGGACGAAAGCGUGGGUAGCGAACAGGAUUAGAUACCCUGGUAGUCCACGCCGUAAACGAUGGAUACUAGCUGUUGGGAGCAAUCUCGGUGGCUAAGCGAAAGUGAUAAGUAUCCCACCUGGGGAGUACGAACGCAAGUUUGAAACUCAAAGGAAUUGACGGGGGCCCGCACAAGCGGUGGAGCAUGUGGUUUAAUUCGAUGAUACGCGAGGAACCUUACCAAGGCUUAAAUGUAGUUUGACCGAUUUGGAAACAGAUCUUUCGCAAGACAAAUUACGAGGUGCUGCAUGGUUGUCGUCAGCUCGUGCCGUGAGGUGUCAGGUUAAGUCCUAUAACGAGCGCAACCCCUGUUGUUAGUUGCCAGCGAGUCAAGUCGGGAACUCUAACAAGACUGCCAGUGCAAACUGUGAGGAAGGUGGGGAUGACGUCAAAUCAUCACGGCCCUUACGCCUUGGGCUACACACGUGCUACAAUGGACGGUACAGAGAGCAGCCACUACGUGAGUAGGAGCGAAUCUACA